rnacentral:lncRNA from 1 species
AAGGUAUCGCAACGAUGUAUGUGCCGUCGUGAUAUGCUUCAACCAUAUUGCAACGGAGUAUGUCGUGGUUAUACGCUCAAUGGAUAUCGCAACGGAAAAUAUUUCAUCGUCAUAUGCUUGUUGGUCCUCGGCUAAAAUGGAAAAUACAAAACAAUAAUUGAUGCCACAUAUAUAUCAUUAAUUAAAUCAAUCCAUCGUUCAUGCACACCAUUCAUGAUACAACAAAAUAUUCAACACAUGAAAAUACUCUUGUACCCAUUCAUCUCCCAUCCCAGCAUUCAUGAUAAUCAACUUUGCUUCAAGGUCUGCUUGUAACCUAUAGGCAACCUUGAGUCUUAUUGCCC